rnacentral:rRNA from 1 species
UAGAGUUUGAUCCUGGCUCAGAUUGAACGCUGGCGGCAGGCCUAACACAUGCAAGUCGAACGGUAGCACAGAGGAGCUUGCUCCUUGGGUGACGAGUGGCGGACGGGUGAGUAAUGUCUGGGAAACUGCCCGAUGGAGGGGGAUAACUACUGGAAACGGUAGCUAAUACCGCAUAACGUCGCAAGACCAAAGAGGGGGACCUUCGGGCCUCUUGCCAUCGGAUGUGCCCAGAUGGGAUUAGCUAGUAGGUGGGGUAACGGCUCACCUAGGCGACGAUCCCUAGCUGGUCUGAGAGGAUGACCAGCCACACUGGAACUGAGACACGGUCCAGACUCCUACGGGAGGCAGCAGUGGGGAAUAUUGCACAAUGGGCGCAAGCCUGAUGCAGCCAUGCCGCGUGUAUGAAGAAGGCCUUCGGGUUGUAAAGUACUUUCAGCGAGGAGGAAGGCGUUGUGGUUAAUAACCGCAGCGAUUGACGUUACUCGCAGAAGAAGCACCGGCUAACUCCGUGCCAGCAGCCGCGGUAAUACGGAGGGUGCAAGCGUUAAUCGGAAUUACUGGGCGUAAAGCGCACGCAGGCGGUCUGUCAAGUCGGAUGUGAAAUCCCCGGGCUCAACCUGGGAACUGCAUCCGAAACUGGCAGGCUAGAGUCUUGUAGAGGGGGGUAGAAUUCCAGGUGUAGCGGUGAAAUGCGUAGAGAUCUGGAGGAAUACCGGUGGCGAAGGCGGCCCCCUGGACAAAGACUGACGCUCAGGUGCGAAAGCGUGGGGAGCAAACAGGAUAAGAUACCCUGGUAGUCCACGCCGUAAACGAUGUC